UCCCAGGUAGCUCAGCUGGUAAAGAAUCUGCCUGCAAUGCAGGAGACCCUGGUUUGAUUCCUGGCUCAGGAA
rnacentral:tRNA from 1 species